rnacentral:rRNA from 1 species
AGAGUUUGAUCAUGGCUCAGGGUGAACGCUAGCUACAGGCUUAACACAUGCAAGUCGAGGGGAAACGACAUCGAAAGCUUGCUUUUGAUGGGCGUCGACCGGCGCACGGGUGAGUAACGCGUAUCCAACCUGCCCACCACUUGGGGGAUAACCUUGCGAAAGUAAGACUAAUACCCAAUGACGUCUCUAGAAGACAUCUGAAGGAGAUUAAAGAUUUAUCGGUGAUGGAUGGGGAUGCGUCUGAUUAGCUUGUUGGCGGGUAACGGCCACCAGGCGACGAUCAGUAGGGGUUCUGAGAGGAAGGUCCCCCACAUUGGAACUGAGACACGGUCCAAACGUCCUACGGGAGGCA